UAUUGCAGGGCUAGCUGUCUUCUCUUGCAUGCCAAGAACAUUGUCAAGUGGCGUGGCAUUGAACACAGGUACACUGGCUCAAUGCUCUGUGAUGUAUUUAGUUUUAAAUUUAGCAAAGGGAUCAUGAAUAUUUACAGCUUUUGCGCUGGUGGGAAUACCGCUCUGGCUCUUGCAAUGUGUAGGACUUACCGAAGGCUCUGACUGAAGGUGAGCAAAGAGCUUGGAGGAUGCACUUAUUACACAUAAAAUACUAUUAAACUGAAGCUUGCAGGUUAACAACGGCGACUCCAUUAUGGCACUAAGGUGAUGCAGAAUCUUCCGAUAGAGCACCAAACAUUGCUGUUUAGUGCAACUAUGCCUGUAGAAAUUGAAGCUCUUGCACAUGAGUACCUUACUGAUCCAGUGCAAGUAAAGGUUGGAAAAGUAAGUAGUGCUACAGCAAAUGUGUCUCAAAUGCUGCAGAAGGUUCCUGAGAAUGAGAAGGUCAGCAACAUAGGUCAUACUCGCACUUUCGGUUAUAGUUGCAAAUAAAAUUUGGUACUUAGAAGAAUUUAAGAUCUUUUGUGUAUGAAUCCUUGUAUGAAUCCAUUUGAAUGUGAUAAGAAUAGUCGCAAAUAAAAUUUGGUACUUGGAAGAAUUUAAGUUCUUUUUUGUACGAAUACCAUGUAUGAAUCCAUUUGAAUGUGAUAGAAUAGUUGCAAAUAAAAUUUCGUACUUAAAAGAAUUUAAGUUCUUUUUUGUACCAAUCCUUGUA